UUACUGAUAGUGCGUACGGAA
ensembl:piRNA 21ur-11025 ncRNA